CCUACGGGUGGCAGCAGUGGGGAAUAUUGCGCAAUGGCCGCAAGGCUGACGCAGCGACGCCGCGUGUGGGAUGACGGCCUUCGGGUUGUAAACCACUGUCGGGAGGGACGAAUACCGGGCGUCGAAUAGGCGAUCCGGGGUGACGGUACCUCCAAAGGAAGCACCGGCUAACUCCGUGCCAGCAGCCGCGGUAAUACGGAGGGUGCGAGCGUUGUCCGGAAUCACUGGGCGUAAAGGGCGCGUAGGCGGCUCGUUAAGUUGCUGGUGAAAUCCCGGGGCUCAACUCCGGGGCUGCCGGUAAGACUGGCGGGCUCGAGCACGGUAGAGGCAGAUGGAAUUCCCGGUGUAGCGGUGGAAUGCGUAGAGAUCGGGAAGAACACCGGUGGCGAAGGCGGUCUGCUGGGCCGUUGCUGACGCUGAGGCGCGACAGCGUGGGGAGCAAACAGGAUUAGAUACCCUAGUAGUCC
rnacentral:rRNA from 1 species